GCGAGAGUUGCCGAGCCUGGCCAAAGGCGUUGGACUUAAGAUCCAAUCUCGUAGGAGUCCGUGAGUUCGAAUCUCACCUCUCGCA
rnacentral:tRNA from 1 species